UACGAAGGGGGCUAGCGUUGCUCGGAAUCACUGGGCGUAAAGCGCACGUAGGCGGACUUUUAAGUCAGGGGUGAAAUCCUGGAGCUCAACUCCAGAACUGCCUUUGAUACUGAAGAUCUUGAGUUCGGGAGAGGUGAGUGGAACUGCGAGUGUAGAGGUGAAAUUCGUAGAUAUUCGCAAGAACACCAGUGGCGAAGGCGGCUCACUGGCCCGAUACUGACGCUGAGGCACGAAAGCGUGGGGAGCAAACAGG
rnacentral:rRNA from 1 species